GCCAUAAGACGUCUUCAAGUUAUAAAUUAUAACUUGAAGUAAUUUUUCCAUCUAUUUGUGUCAUCCAUUUUUAUUUAUUUCCGCUGCAAUUUUUCUCUGUGUGCACUGGUGUGCUGCCCUAACACAAUGCUUAACAUCAAAGUAUGAAGGAAGCAACACUUUCAAGUGGUAUCAGAGCAGUCACUCGACACACUGAGUGUGAUUCUCUCGUUGUUAUCAGAACAG
rnacentral:lncRNA from 1 species